rnacentral:rRNA from 1 species
UACGUAGGGGGCAAGCGUUGUCCGGAAUCAUUGGGCGUAAAGAGCGUGUAGGCGGUUCGGUAAGUCGGCUGUGAAAGUCCAGGGCUCAACCCUGGGAUGCCGGUCGAUACUGCCGGACUAGAGUUCGAAAGAGGGUCGCGGAAUUCCCGGUGUAGAGGUGAAAUUCGUAGAUAUCGGGAGGAACACCGGUGGCGAAGGCGGCGACCUGGGUCGAUACUGACGCUGGAGGUGCGAAAGCGUGGGGAGCAAACAGG